UGGGGAGUGUGGGAGAGGCAGACAGGUGUAAUAUGUGAGAAUGGAGUUGAGUUCAGUCUAUAGCAGUGCAAUAAUGUAAGCCCUGCAUUUAAAUGAGACUGAAGGUUUUUGCCCUUAUCUACACAGUAGAGUUCUAUUUAGGCAUAGCUUCAGUUUCUCAAGUAAGCCUAUCCUGGAAGCUAAUUCUGAACUUCAACUGUGUACAGACAGAAGCUCCUAAAGAUUAUCAUCACAUAAGCAUGAUCUUUAUCCCAUUAAAAAUUCUGUCUGACUACAGAACUUGCAAGCUCUGUGAAAUGGUAAUACCUGUUCUCUUCUCCAGCACAUCCCUGGACCAGCCAGCUGUCUGAGUGCACUGGGUUCUCUCUUGAAGACCUGUUGCCGUGUGUGCUGCACCUUCACCAAAAAUGUUUCCAUGAUGAGAUCCCUAAGGAUUAUAGGCAGGUGUUGUCUCACUGCAGUUAAAGACAAUCUGAAGAUGAGCGUUAUGACGAAAUAGGCCAAGAAAAGGUGAUGAGCUACAGCCAGCUCUGUUCACUGCUGGGUGUGAAGCAGGAGGACCUGAAGCCUAGUCCCCUGCACACAAAUGUCAUAGAAAUUAAAGUUUUCUUUAGCUCUCCCUCUGGAAAGAGAUCUAAAAGAUGAGUAGAACUCAUGGCUGUAAAGGUCUGUGAAGACCUGCAUGAGCCUUUCCUCCUCUCUGGCAUCCUGAGCUUCCAUCCUUUCUGUCGUUACCUUGGCUGACAUCUCUAUUAGAAGAGCUGGAGGAGCAGACUUGACUUUUAAUGUGUUACUUCUGGAUGUUCUUGCUACAGGAGGAGGGAAGACAGCACUCAGGAUGAUAGGAGCAGCUUAGUGACUACACCUACAGCUGAGCCCAGGAAGAAAGUCUUCUGGACAGCUUUCUGGACUGGAGUUUAGAUUCCUGCUCUGGUUAUGAAGGUGAGCAGGAAAGUGAAGUCACAAGUCCCAGUGGAAUCUUGGAUGUGACAGUGGUUUACAUGGAUCCAGCGGAGCACUGCUGUCAGGACUCCAGUGAUGAGGACAGCCUAUCUGUGGAGUGUCCUGGGCACACAGCACCACUGAGGAAGGCCAGGACACCAGAUGAAACUCGCAGAGUUUUUUCAGCCUCAAAAAAUCCCAGCUGGGAAGGGAGCUCAGGCUACUCUUCUGUCAGUGGUGCCAGUCCUACGUCUCCACAGCUGCCUUUUACAGAAGUACCUCUCAAACCUACCUCAGCACUGUCUCUUUGUCCAGCUCAUUAGACUAAGGCAACGGCCACAGAGCCAUUCAGCCCAGAGGUUCCACGUCACUGUUGAGGCGGUGCUGAAAGGAAAGAAGAGAGAUUCUCAUUUCUAGAAGCCAAAGCUGCUUUGGUGGAGGAGGAUCAAUUGUCCACAAAAGUUUCCAGAAUGGGAGGGAAGGGUCUGGGUAGGGAGCUCCUCAAAUGUGUGCUUUCCAGACGUAAGUCAGUCAGCAACUGGUGUUCUGUUGUCAGGGUCCCUGAAUUUAUAGCAGUCAGCAUGGAGAUGGCUCGUGACAUUGUAAAGCCAUGGUGAUGUGACCCUAAAAAUGUCCUGUGAUGACCAAAACAUGGCUGUGUUGGGCAAGGGGAGGCUAUGGCCUGAGAGUUGCCCUACUUGUCAGCAGAGGGAUUCUGUGGGGCUCCAUUUUAGGUCUGGUUCUCUUUAAUGUUUUUCCUGUUGAUUCUAAUAAAGAUCUGGAAGUUGUA